GCGAAGAGGUCACACCCGUUCCCAUGCCGAACACGGAAGUUAAGCUCUACAGCGCCGAUGGUAGUCGGGGGUUUCCCCCUGUGAGAGUAGGACGCCGCCAAGC
rnacentral:rRNA from 1 species